CCAGCUUGUCUGGGAAAGUGGGGUGGUCGGACAGGAGUCCCCGGAGGCUGGAGAGACUCAGGCUGAGGUGCCCUGGGAGGAGCUGUGCAGCUGAGAGAGCAGGGGCAUGGUUGGAAGUCUCUCUGCACAGCGGGAACUGUGUUCUGUUUCACCUGCGGCCAUCCAGCACACCGCCACAGCUCUGUCCCUCAGAGGGUGCCCCCGAAGAGUGCACAGUCCAGUGUGGAAACUGAUAAAUAAUUAGAGAAUAAACCCUCAAACAACUGGGUAAGUCCCAAUGUAACUGUAGCAGGAUGUAGGACCCUGUGUCGCCUCAGGUUCCACCCCCAAGCCUCAAUUUGCUGAGACUCCAGCAAUGCAAAACCACCUGUGCCUACUGGGAAAGAUGCUGUAUUUCCAGACCCCUGUGUCCCUGCUUGUCCCCUCGGCCACCUCCUGUCCUUCACAGCUCAGCUCGGGAGCAGCUGCUCGGUGCACCUGCCACCAUUCCAGCUGAUGCCCGUUUCCUGCUUCUGGAGCCUCCUGGGGCCGUGGAAGGGAAGGAGAUCCCUGCACCUCAGGCGCCAGAGCCUCAGGAACUGGACGCUGCCCAGAAGACCACGGUGACUGGCUCAAACUUCCAGAAGCUUCUCUGCGACCCUCAGAAGUGAGGCUUUGCCUCUUCAGGCUGCUGGUGCCGGCACGCUGACGUUGGCACGUGAGAGGGACUUCGGUUUGUUCAGGAGGGAAAGGAGGGAAGAGGAAGAGGAGGGAGAGGAGCUCGCAUUCCCUGGGACCUGCCCUCCAGGUACAACAGGCUCCACAUGAUCAGCGGGGCCCAGCAGCUCCAUCCCUGGUGGCCUCCUCACCCUGCUCAUCUACACCGGCAGCCAGCGGUACCCGCGGCAGUCCCAGGACCUGACUGUCAUCCACCCGUCUCUCCCGCCCCCCUCAACACCAGCCUCACCAAGCACAUCAACACACCGGACCAGUAUGACUUGGUUGGGGACAUCAAGGUGACCCCCCGUGCAUGACUGAUGGCUGUCAGUAAAGCUCAGUGGUGUGCACUGGUGACGAGGUGGCGGAGGGUAAAGGGACCUUGGGGAUGAGCUGCCUGUUCAGCUGUGCUUGGCUGGAGAAUCAUGCUGGGACACACUGGGCACACAGACCACAAAGGAACAGGGAAAAUGCAGGAUAUAAAGGCCUACCCCAUGUGGGUGACGUCUAAUGUCCAGCUCUGCCAGGGCUCCACAUCACAUGUCUCCCUGUCCCCUGGGCCAGACAGCAAGCCGUCCUGCCAGGACCUGGCAGCAAGGGCCAGGAGGUGUCAUUUUAGAUCUUGACCACCAGAUGGCAGCAUGAUACACCUUUUGCAGUGAUCUUCAAUGAAGCCUUCAAAUCUUUUUUUUGAGUGCCAAGUUUUUGCCUAACAUAAUGCAAUGCUUCAAGUUGUUGGUAUGAGGUGGGGUAUUUUUGUCUUUUUUCCUCAAUGGACUAUUAAACCACCCAUUUUAAAACCAGAUGUUUUGUGCCGAUGGCCAGUCUCCUUGCCCCAGGAUUAAGGGGAAAAAAAGGACAUCAGCUUUGAACUCUGCUGAGCGGGGUAAACCUGGGCUAACGCUGGGGUUGGACAAUGAAGCUUGAUUUUAGUGAUAAGAAACAGAACGUCUUAAAGAAAGGUCUGCUGCAUUGCCAAAUUCAUAGGUCUUGAUCAGUCUGAUGAAUUAGUGCCUUCUAUCUUUGGUCCAUGAUUUCCCAGGGCGCUAAAGCCUGGGCUCCAUGACUCUCCUGAUCUGAGGCUUGAG